rnacentral:snRNA from 1 species
AUACUUACCUGCUGCCGGGGCUUCGUUGAUCGCCGCGGACGAGCCCCCAGGGCGCGGUGCGGGCAUUGCAUUACGCUCGCGUGUCCCCUCUCACUACCCCAAACUGGGGAAGAUGGGGCAUGCAAAGC